GACGAACGCUGGCGGCGUGCCUAACACAUGCAAGUCGAACGGAAAGGCCCUGCUUUUGUGGGGUGCUCGAGUGGCGAACGGGUGAGUAACACGUGAGUAACCUGCCCUUGACUUUGGGAUAACUUCAGGAAACUGGGGCUAAUACCGGAUAGGAGCUCCUGCUGCAUGGUGGGGGUUGGAAAGUUUCGGCGGUUGGGGAUGGACUCGCGGCUUAUCAGCUUGUUGGUGGGGUAGUGGCUUACCAAGGCUUUGACGGGUAGCCGGCCUGAGAGGGUGACCGGCCACAUUGGGACUGAGAUACGGCCCAGACUCCUACGGGAGGCAGCAGUGGGGAAUAUUGCACAAUGGGCGGAAGCCUGAUGCAGCAACGCCGCGUGCGGGAUGACGGCCUUCGGGUUGUAAACCGCUUUCGCCUGUGACGAAGCGUGAGUGACGGUAAUGGGUAAAGAAGCACCGGCUAACUACGUGCCAGCAGCCGCGGUGAUACGUAGGGUGCGAGCGUUGUCCGGAUUUAUUGGGCGUAAAGGGCUCGUAGGUGGUUGAUCGCGUCGGAAGUGUAAUCUUGGGGCUUAACCCUGAGCGUGCUUUCGAUACGGGUUGACUUGAGGAAGGUAGGGGAGAAUGGAAUUCCUGGUGGAGCGGUGGAAUGCGCAGAUAUCAGGAGGAACACCAGUGGCGAAGGCGGUUCUCUGGGCCUUUCCUGACGCUGAGGAGCGAAAGCGUGGGGAGCGAACAGGCUUAGAUACCCUGGUAGUCCACGCUGUAAACGGUGGGUACUAAGGUGUGGGGGUCCAUUCCACCGGGUUUCCGUGCCCGUAGCUAACGCUUAAAGUACCCCCGCCUGGGGAGUACGGCCGCAAGGCUAAAAACUCAAAGGAAUUGACGGGGCCCCGCACCAAGCGGCGGAGCAUGCGGAUUAAUUCGAUGCAACGCGUAGAACCUUACCUGGGUUUGACAUGGAUCGGGAGUGCUCAGAGAUGGGUGUGCCUCUUUUGGGGUCGGUUCACAGGUGGUGCAUGGCUGUCGUCAGCUCGUGUCGUGAGAUGUUGGGUUAAGUCCCGCAACGAGCGCAACCCUUGUUCACUGUUGCCAGCACGUUAUGGUGGGGACUCAGUGGAGACCGCCGGGGUCAACUCGGAGGAAGGUGGGGAUGACGUCAAGUCAUCAUGCCCCUUAUGUCCAGGGCUUCACGCAUGCUACAAUGGCUGGUACAGAGAGUGGCGAGCCUGUGAGGGUGAGCGAAUCUCGGAAAGCCGGUCUCAGUUCGGAUUGGGGUCUGCAACUCGACCUCAUGAAGUCGGAGUCGCUAGUAAUCGCAGAUCAGCAACGCUGCGGUGAAUACGUUCCCGGGGCUUGUACACACCGCCCGUCA
rnacentral:rRNA from 1 species